rnacentral:rRNA from 1 species
GUGCCAGCAGCCGCGGUAAUACGAAGGGGGCUAGCGUUGUUCGGAAUUACUGGGCGUAAAGCGCUCGUAGGCCGCCUUGUAAGUUGGGGCUGAAAUCCCGGGGCUCAACCCCGGAACUGCCUCCAAAACUACAAAGCUAGAGGAUGCGAGAGGAUAGUGGAAUUCCGAGUGUAGAGGUGAAAUUCGUAGAUAUUCGGAAGAACACCAGUGGCGAAGGCGACUGUCUGGCGCAUAUCUGACGCUGAGGUGCGAAAGCGUGGGGAGCAAACAGGAUUAGAAACCCUUGUAGUC